rnacentral:rRNA from 1 species
AGCGCAACCCCUGCAUCCAGUUGCAUCGGGCGAGCCGGGCACUCUGGAGGGACUGCCGGCGACAAGCCGGAGGAAGGUGGGGAUGGACGUCAAGUCAUCAUGGCCCUUAUGUCCAGGGCGACACACGUGCUACAAUGGCCGGCACAGCGGGAAGCGGAGGGGCGACCCUGAGCGGAUCCCUUGAAAGCCGGUCCCAGUUCGGAUUGCAGUCUGCAACUCGACUGCAUGAAGUUGGAAUCGCUAGUAAUCGCGGAUCAGCCAAGCCGCGGUGAAUACGUUCCCGGGCCUU